CCGUUCAAUACUGCGGGGCUUGAGGGUAGAAGAGGGGGGUGGAAUUGCCGGUGUAGUGGUGAAAUGCGUAGAUAUCGGCAGGAACACCUGUGGCGAAAGCGGCCCCCUGGUCUGCUCCUGACACUCAGACGCGAAAGCUAGGGGAGUGAACGGGAUUAGAAACCCCGGUAAUCCUAGCCGUAAACGAUGGAUGCUAGGUGUGGGUGGUAUUGACCCCAUCCGUGCCGAAGCCAACGCGUUAAGCAUCCCGCCUGGGGACUACGGCCGCAAGGUUAAAACUCAAAGGAAUUGACGGGGACCCGCACAAGCAGCGGAGCGUGUGGUUUAAUUCGAUGCUACACGAAGAACCUUACCCAGGUUUGACAUGCAGGUAGUAGUGAAGCGAAAGCGGAACGACUCGCAAGAGAGCCUGCACAGGUGCUGCAUGGCUGUCGUCAGCUCGUGCCGUGAGGUGUUUGGUUAAGUCCACUAACGAGCGCAACCCCUGUCGUCAGUUACAUGUGUCUGACGAGACUGCCGGCCUUAAGCCGGAGGAAGGUGGGGAUGACGUCAAGUCAGCAUGGCCUUUAUAUCUGGG
rnacentral:rRNA from 1 species